CGGUGUGCGAGGCCGAGAUCUGCAAGUGUGCCGUAGGCUGGCAUCCGCGGGUUUGCGAGAUCCGAUGUUCCUCUUCCAGGUGGACUAGUACUCGCACGCAGUUCUACGCCGGUAGCAAUCAACCGAGGUGUGCAUGGCGUGAUGUAUUUAGAAGAUAAUUGUGCUCGGUUCCUGUCCUCCUGCUACUGUCGUUGCUGCCUGGGGACCUACUGCACUGGCCAAUAAUGCUAGUUUGGGUUUGCUAUUUUUUCGUACUCAACAGACUUGCUGGCCUAGAGCAAGCAAGAAGGCAAGUGAUGCCAUUUACAGGUUGUAGUAGUGCUUGAGGGCUGUUCGCUGCAAUUUGGUCCACUGGUGCUAUAUAUAGAUUGCUCUUCUUUCUAUAGUUGCAGAUUUUGCACUCUGUAUUAUGGUUCCAGAUUUUUCCAUCUGUAUUAUAGUUGCAGGUUUGUCAAUUUGGUAUGCUGGUACUCCAUGACAAUGUUGCAUGCAAUUUUGGGAACCUGUAUUUUGUUGUUGGCUUUUGUGCCACAGUGGACUGCACAAUGUGGUGCUUGAUGUUAACUUUGUAUCUCAUCUUAUGUGAAGUUAUGUAAACCUCAUAUAUGUAAUUGAAAAUGAGUUGUUUGUCUA